rnacentral:rRNA from 1 species
CCUACGGGAGGCAGCAGUGGGGAAUAUUGGGCAAUGGAGGAAACUCUGACCCAGCGACGCCGCGUGCGGGAUGAAGGCCUUCGGGUUGUAAACCGCUUUCAGCAGGGAAGAAGCGAAAGUGACGGUACCUGCAGAAGAAGCACCGGCUAACUAUGUGCCAGCAGCCGCGGUAAUACAUAGGGUGCAAGCGUUGUCCGGAAUUAUUGGGCGUAAAGAGCUCGUAGGUGGUUCGUCACGUCGGAUGUGAAAAUCUGGGGCUUAACCCCAGACCUGCAUUCGAUACGGGCGAGCUUGAGUAUGGUAGGGGAGUCUGGAAUUCCUGGUGUAGCGGUGGAAUGCGCAGAUAUCAGGAGGAACACCAAUGGCGAAGGCAGGACUCUGGGCCAUUACUGACACUGAGGAGCGAAAGCGUGGGGAGCGAACAGGAUUAGAUACCCUGGUAGUCCACGCCGUAAACGGUGGGCACUAGUUGUGGGGACCUUCCACGGUCUCUGCGACGCAGCUAACGCAUUAAGUGCCCCGCCUGGGGAGUACGAUCGCAAGAUUAAAACUCAAAGAGUAGUGACGNGAGAGUGCGACGAGACACAGGAGGAGAG